GGCUGGUCCGAAGGUAGUGAGUUAUCUCAAUUGAUUGUUCACAGUCAGUUACAGAUUGAACUCCUUGUUCUACUCUUUCCCCCCUUCUCACUACUGCACUUGACUAGUCUUUU
rnacentral:Y_RNA from 19 species